rnacentral:ncRNA from 1 species
CAAAGGCUUGGUCCUGACUUUACUAUCAACUUUAGCCAAACUUACACAUGCAAGUAUCCGCACCCCCGUGAGAAUGCCCCACAGUUCCCUGCCCGGGAACAAGGAGCUGGUAUCAGGCACAUUUAAUUAUAAGCCCACGACACCUUGCUUAGCCACACCCUCAAGGGAACUCAGCAGUGAUAAACAUUAAGCUAUAAGUGAAAACUUGACUUAGUCAAGGCUAAGAGGGCCGGUAAAACUNGUGCCAGCCACCGCGCUUAUACGUGAGGCCCAAGGGGGUGUAGUGGGGUGUAAAGAGCAAAUAAGACCCGUGUGCUAAAAUUAAAGCUGUACUCCGUGGAGCAAUUCAUGUGUUAUGGAAGGUAAGAAGUUCAAUCAAUAAAUCAGUAAUUAUUUUGNGAACCCACGAANUUAUUUAUUACAACNUAAAAUUNGAUACCCCCNUGAUGNMWASCCAUAAACAUUKAUAGUACAAUACACCUACUAUCCGCCAGGGUACUACGAGCAUCAGCUUAAAACCCAAAGGACUUGGCGGUGCUUUAGAUCCACCUAGAGGAGCCUGUUCUAGAACCGAUAACCCCCGUUCAACCUCACCCUUCCUUGUUUUUCCCGCCUAUAUACCGCCGUCGUCAGCUUACCCUGUGAAGGCCUCAUAGUAAGCAGAAUUGGCACAACCCAAAACGUCAGGUCGAGGUGUAGCGUAUGGAAGGGGAAGAAAUGGGCUACAUUCACUAACACAGUGAAUCACGGACGAUAAACUGAAAUGUCUAUCUAAAGGAGGAUUUAGCAGUAAGCAGGAAAUAGAGUGUUCUGCUGAAAUUGGCCCUGAAGCGCGCACACACCGCCCGUCACUCUCCCCAAGCCUAACAACCUAUAUAACUAAAACCCUACAAUCGCAAAGGGGAGGCAAGUCGUAACAUGGUAAGUGUACCGGAAGGUGCACUUGGAAAAAU